GACGAACGCUGGCGGCGUGCCUAACACAUGCAAGUCAAAGGGAAGCAACUUCGGUUGUAAGUACUUGGCGCAAGGGUGAGUAAUGUAUAGGUAAUCUGCCCUUUGGACUGGGAUAACCCCGAGAAAUCGGGGACAAUACCAGAUGACGCAGCGGGACCGCAUGGUACUGUUGUUAAAGAUUUAUCGCCAAAAGGAUGGGCCCGCGUUGGAUUAGCUAGUUGGUAGGGUAAUGGCCUACCAAGGCAACGAUCCAUAGUUGGUCUGAGAGGAUGAUCAGCCACACUGGGACUGAGACACGGCCCAGACUCCUACGGGAGGCAG
rnacentral:rRNA from 1 species